rnacentral:rRNA from 1 species
UACGUAGGGUCCGAGCGUUGUCCGGAAUUAUUGGGCAUAAAGGGCUCGUAGGCGGUUUGUCGCGUCGGGAGUGAAAACACCGGGCUUAACUCGGUGCUUGCUUUCGAUACGGGCAGACUGGAGGUAUGCAGGGGAGAACGGAAUUCCUGGUGUAGCGGUGAAAUGCGCAGAUAUCAGGAGGAACACCGGUGGCGAAGGCGGUUCUCUGGGCAUUACCUGACGCUGAGGAGCGAAAGUGUGGGGAGCGAACAGG